UGUAUGUAAUUCUACAGAAAGUACUUCACCUAAUGAAGAACAUUUAAUUCACUCUUCAAAUCAAAAAGUCAACCUGCUAAGAGCAAACUGGACAUCAUAAACUUUGUUGAGGUGAGGUUAUAGUUUCAUUUUAUAAAAUUCAUUUAGUAAGGCCUGAAUCAAAUUUAGUGUACACUGUACAUAUACAUCUUCUUAGUUUUGAGCUUUCCUAUAGUUGAGAUAAAGUUAUUAUGGGCUAACAAAAACUAUCUGCCAGUGUCUCAUAGUAUUUCGCUCUGUCUAUAACCCCAGGGGAUAGCUUGUUCAGGGGGUGGAAAAAGUAUCGGACCACGGGACCAUUGGUCCCAGAAAUUUUUUUGAGUUCCCAGAAAAUAUUUCCCCAAGAAAGAAAAAAUUGUAAUAAUUCAGAUAAAAGGAGAAAUUCAGAGGAAAAUUAACACCAUNNNNNNNNNNNNNNNNNNNNUAGUUUCAUUUUAUAAAAUUCAUUUAGUAAGGCCUGAAUCAAAUUUAGUGUACACUGUACACAGUGGCGCCGUGGCCGGGGGGGCCAGGGGGGGCCCUAUUGUUGAGACCCGUCGGAAAAUUGUCAAUGUUGUCGGAAAUUGUCGGAAAAUUGUCAAUGUUGUCGGAAAUUUUCAAAGUUGUCGACCGGGAGGGGGUGAAGAUUUAAAAUGUUGUCGUCCGGAAAAAUUUUUGGUCUGUCGGAAAAAAUUUUCGGUUUGUCGGAAAAGUACUGCCCUCGGCCCCCCCAAAAACAUGGGUCCCACGGCGCCCCUGACUGUACAUAUACAUCUUCUUAGUUUUGAGCUUUCCUAUAGUUGAGAUAAAGUUAAUAUGGGCUAACAAAAACUAUCUGCCAGUGUCUCUUGUUCCAUCCAUCAUAGUAUUUCGCUCUGUCUAUAACCCCAGGGGAUAGCUUGUUCAGGGGUGGAAAAAGUAUCGGACCACGGGACCAUUGGUCCCAGAAAUUUUUUGAGUUCCCAGAAAAUAUUUCCCCAAGAAAGAAAAAAUUGUAAUAAUUCAGAUAAAAGGAGAAAUUCAGAGGAAAAUUAACACCAUGACCUCAGAAAUGCAAUUAUAAGUGCAACCAUCUUAAUAGUGCGAUAGUGUAUAAAUGUACAUAUUAGACUAUAGAAUGAUGUAACAAUUGUUGUAUGGCAAAUGCAUUUUUAGCCAAUCUGGGACACUUGAUUUCAAAAUUUUCUGGGAGCUAGAGCAUGGAUCCACCUGAUAGUGCCCCCAGUGCCAAUUUUGCAUCUGUAUUUACUUUAGGAUCAGACCCUUGAUGCAUGUUAUCUAUAUUAGCUUUAUGUUAUUUUUUAAGAUUCUCAGUGCACUGAAAUAUUUUUUUUCUGUAAAUAUACAUGUAGCAUGACAUCCAGUUUGACAACUUAUUAGGUGUCACACAGUUACAUUGGCAGAGUGUCGAUUUACUUGAUCAUUUGCAGAAAAUUUUUCAAUGAACUUUUUGCGGUCCCAGAAAGUAAAAUAUUUUUUCCACCCCUGAGCUUGUUAGUGAAAACAUAAGCUGUUAAUUAAUGAGGGUUGUGUAGUUGUUACCAAAACUAUUUUUGUGGGUUUUUUUCCUCAAAAGGAAGGAGACACAGACUUGACUACCUGGCUGCAAAUGAGACCCAAUGACAUACUGUAUCAGGGCUGAUCAUGACAUGGAGCUAUUGGCAACAUUCGAGAAUAGCGAAACUGUAAAAGCCAUCUUUACUUCCUGGCGUUGUUCUACUGUACCUGCUCGACUUAGACUACCCAUCCAGACUCAGCAGUCUGACA
rnacentral:lncRNA from 1 species